rnacentral:misc_RNA from 1 species
UUUCCGUAGGUGAACCCGCGGAAGGAUCAUUAAUGAGAACUAAGGGUAGUAGUCUCGGCUACUACUCUGAACACUCCACCCUUUGUUUAUAUUACCUUUGUUGCUUUAGCAGGCCCGCUCUCGAGCCGCCGGCACCUGCUGGCUAGUGCCUGCUAAAGAACCUAAAACUCUUGUUAAUAAUAUUGUCUGAGUACUAUAUAAUAGUUAAAACUUUCAACAACGGAUCUCUUGGUUCUG